rnacentral:rRNA from 1 species
UUAAAUUGAAGAGUUUGAUCAUGGCUCAGAUUGAACGCUGGCGGCAGGCCUAACACAUGCAAGUCGAACGGUAACAGGAAGCAGCUUGCUGCUUCGCUGACGAGUGGCGGACGGGUGAGUAAUGUCUGGGAAACUGCCUGAUGGAGGGGGAUAACUACUGGAAACGGUGGCUAAUACCGCAUAACGUCGCAAGACCAAAGAGGGGGACCUUCGGGCCUCUUGCCAUCAGAUGUGCCCAGAUGGGAUUAGCUA